rnacentral:rRNA from 1 species
UACGUAGGGGGCAAGCGUUGUCCGGAUUUAUUGGGCGUAAAGAGCGUGUAGGCGGCUGGGUAGGUCCGUUGUGAAAACUCGAGGCUCAACCUCGAGACGCCGAUGGAAACCCUCCAGCUAGAGUCCGGAAGAGGCGAGUGGAAUUCCUGGUGUAGCGGUGAAAUGCGCAGAUAUCAGGAGGAACACCAAUGGCGAAGGCAGCUCGCUGGGACGGUACUGACGCUGAGACGCGAAAGCGUGGGGAGCAAACAGG